rnacentral:rRNA from 1 species
AGACUCCUACGGGAGGCAGCAGUAGGGAAUCUUCGGCAAUGGACGAAAGUCUGACCGAGCAACGCCGCGUGAGUGAAGAAGGUUUUCGGAUCGUAAAACUCUGUUGUUAGAGAAGAACAAGGACGUUAGUAACUGAACGUCCCCUGACGGUAUCUAACCAGAAAGCCACGGCUAACUACGUGCCAGCAGCCGCGGUAAUACGUAGGUGGCAAGCGUUGUCCGGAUUUAUUGGGCGUAAAGCGAGCGCAGGCGGUUUCUUAAGUCUGAUGUGAAAGCCCCCGGCUCAACCGGGGAGGGUCAUUGGAAACUGGGAGACUUGAGUGCAGAAGAGGAGAGUGGAAUUCCAUGUGUAGCGGUGAAAUGCGUAGAUAUAUGGAGGAACACCAGUGGCGAAGGCGGCUCUCUGGUCUGUAACUGACGCUGAGGCUCGAAAGCGUGGGGAGCAAACAGGAUUAGAUACCCUGGUAGUCCACGCCGU